AAUCAACGCUGGCGGCGUGCCUAACACAUGCAAGUCGAACGCGAAAGUCCCGCAAGGGAUUAGUAGAGUGGCAAACGGGUGAGUAACACGUGGGUGACCUGCCUUCGAGUGGGGGAUAACGUCCCGAAAGGGACGCUAAUACCGCAUAACAUCCUGCCUUUGAAGAGGUGGAGAUCAAAGCUGGGGACCGCAAGGCCUGGCGCUGGAAGAGGGGCCCGCGCCUGAUUAGCUAGNGGUGAGGUAACGGCUCACCAAGGCAACGAUCAGUAUCCGGCCUGAGAGGCGGACGGACACACUGGGACUGAGACACGGCCCAGACUCCUACGGGAGGCAGCAGUGGGGAAUUGUUCGCAAUGGGCGCAAGCCUGACGACGCAACGCCGCGUGGAGGAUGAAGACCUUC
rnacentral:rRNA from 1 species